AGACGAAGAAGAGGAAAAUUGUGGAUCGACGUGCCUCUAAGAGCAGAAAGAUCAGGUAUAAUGUUCAUGAGAAGAUUGUCAACUUCAUGGCUCCACGACCAGCAAAGAUUCCUCCAAACACAAGAAUCUCUUCGGUCUCAAGACCAGAAACGUUCAGUCUGAAGCGUAAUACAAACCGCAAUUUUGAAACGCAGCAAUAGAGAUCUACUUUAUUUUUGUGUGUUGUAAUACUGUCGACAUCGUUUCUUAUUGAAAGCCAGAUUUGAAAAGCAACGAGUUAUU